rnacentral:rRNA from 1 species
GGGUUGUGAGGUUAAGCGACUAAGCGUACACGGUGGAUGCCCUGGCAGUCAGAGGCGAUGAAGGACGUGCUAAUCUGCGAUAAGCGUCGGUAAGGUGAUAUGAACCGUUAUAACCGGCGAUUUCCGAAUGGGGAAACCCAGUGUGUUUCGACACACUAUCAUUAACUGAAUCCAUAGGUUAAUGAGGCGAACCGGGGGAACUGAAACAUCUAAGUACCCCGAGGAAAAGAAAUCAACCGAGAUUCCCCCAGUAGCGGCGAGCGAACGGGGAGCAGCCCAGAGCCUGAAUCAGUGUGUGUGUUAGUGGAAGCGUCUGGAAAGGCGCGCGAUACAGGGUGACAGCCCCGUACACAAAAAUGCACAUGCUGUGAGCUCGAUGAGUAGGGCGGGACACGUGGUAUCCUGUCUGAAUAUGGGGGGACCAUCCUCCAAGGCUAAAUACUCCUGACUGACCGAUAGUGAACCAGUACCGUGAGGGAAAGGCGAAAAGAACCCCGGCGAGGGGAGUGAAAAAGAACCUGAAACCGUGUACGUACAAGCAGUGGGAGCACGCUUAGGCGUGUGACUGCGUACCUUUUGUAUAAUGGGUCAGCGACUUAUAUUCUGUAGCAAGGUUAACCGAAUAGGGGAGCCGAAGGGAAACCGAGUCUUAACUGGGCGUUAAGUUGCAGGGUAUAGACCCGAAACCCGGUGAUCUAGCCAUGGGCAGGUUGAAGGUUGGGUAACACUAACUGGAGGACCGAACCGACUAAUGUUGAAAAAUUAGCGGAUGACUUGUGGCUGGGGGUGAAAGGCCAAUCAAACCGGGAGAUAGCUGGUUCUCCCCGAAAGCUAUUUAGGUAGCGCCUCGUGAAUUCAUCUCCGGGGGUAGAGCACUGUUUCGGCAAGGGGGUCAUCCCGACUUACCAACCCGAUGCAAACUGCGAAUACCGGAGAAUGUUAUCACGGGAGACACACGGCGGGUGCUAACGUCCGUCGUGAAGAGGGAAACAACCCAGACCGCCAGCUAAGGUCCCAAAGUCAUGGUUAAGUGGGAAACGAUGUGGGAAGGCCCAGACAGCCAGGAUGUUGGCUUAGAAGCAGCCAUCAUUUAAAGAAAGCGUAAUAGCUCACUGGUCGAGUCGGCCUGCGCGGAAGAUGUAACGGGGCUAAACCAUGCACCGAAGCUGCGGCAGCGACGCUUAUGCGUUGUUGGGUAGGGGAGCGUUCUGUAAGCCUGUGAAGGUGUACUGUGAGGUAUGCUGGAGGUAUCAGAAGUGCGAAUGCUGACAUAAGUAACGAUAAAGCGGGUGAAAAGCCCGCUCGCCGGAAGACCAAGGGUUCCUGUCCAACGUUAAUCGGGGCAGGGUGAGUCGACCCCUAAGGCGAGGCCGAAAGGCGUAGUCGAUGGGAAACAGGUUAAUAUUCCUGUACUUGGUGUUACUGCGAAGGGGGGACGGAGAAGGCUAUGUUGGCCGGGCGACGGUUGUCCCGGUUUAAGCGUGUAGGCUGGUUUUCCAGGCAAAUCCGGAAAAUCAAGGCUGAGGCGUGAUGACGAGGCACUACGGUGCUGAAGCAACAAAUGCCCUGCUUCCAGGAAAAGCCUCUAAGCAUCAGGUAACAUCAAAUCGUACCCCAAACCGACACAGGUGGUCAGGUAGAGAAUACCAAGGCGCUUGAGAGAACUCGGGUGAAGGAACUAGGCAAAAUGGUGCCGUAACUUCGGGAGAAGGCACGCUGAUAUGUAGGUGAAGUCCCUCGCGGAUGGAGCUGAAAUCAGUCGAAGAUACCAGCUGGCUGCAACUGUUUAUUAAAAACACAGCACUGUGCAAACACGAAAGUGGACGUAUACGGUGUGACGCCUGCCCGGUGCCGGAAGGUUAAUUGAUGGGGUUAGCCGCAAGGCGAAGCUCUUGAUCGAAGCCCCGGUAAACGGCGGCCGUAACUAUAACGGUCCUAAGGUAGCGAAAUUCCUUGUCGGGUAAGUUCCGACCUGCACGAAUGGCGUAAUGAUGGCCAGGCUGUCUCCACCCGAGACUCAGUGAAAUUGAACUCGCUGUGAAGAUGCAGUGUACCCGCGGCAAGACGGAAAGACCCCGUGAACCUUUACUAUAGCUUGACACUGAACAUUGAGCCUUGAUGUGUAGGAUAGGUGGGAGGCUUUGAAGUGUGGACGCCAGUCUGCAUGGAGCCGACCUUGAAAUACCACCCUUUAAUGUUUGAUGUUCUAACGUUGACCCGUAAUCCGGGUUGCGGACAGUGUCUGGUGGGUAGUUUGACUGGGGCGGUCUCCUCCUAAAGAGUAACGGAGGAGCACGAAGGUUGGCUAAUCCUGGUCGGACAUCAGGAGGUUAGUGCAAUGGCAUAAGCCAGCUUGACUGCGAGCGUGACGGCGCGAGCAGGUGCGAAAGCAGGUCAUAGUGAUCCGGUGGUUCUGAAUGGAAGGGCCAUCGCUCAACGGAUAAAAGGUACUCCGGGGAUAACAGGCUGAUACCGCCCAAGAGUUCAUAUCGACGGCGGUGUUUGGCACCUCGAUGUCGGCUCAUCACAUCCUGGGGCUGAAGUAGGUCCCAAGGGUAUGGCUGUUCGCCAUUUAAAGUGGUACGCGAGCUGGGUUUAGAACGUCGUGAGACAGUUCGGUCCCUAUCUGCCGUGGGCGCUGGAGAACUGAGGGGGGCUGCUCCUAGUACGAGAGGACCGGAGUGGACGCAUCACUGGUGUUCGGGUUGUCAUGCCAAUGGCACUGCCCGGUAGCUAAAUGCGGAAGAGAUAAGUGCUGAAAGCAUCUAAGCACGAAACUUGCCCCGAGAUGAGUUCUCCCUGACUCCUUGAGAGUCCUGAAGGAACGUUGAAGACGACGACGUUGAUAGGCCGGGUGUGUAAGCGCAGCGAUGCGUUGAGCUAACCGGUACUAAUGAACCGUGAGGCUUAACCUUACAACGCCGAAGGUGUUU